rnacentral:lncRNA from 1 species
GUUUCACCCAAUUGUCACAAAGCAAGAAACACAAGCCCAGUGUGCGGCAGACAAGGCUCUGGACAAAGGGCUGUUUUCAUCGCCCCUCUCCCCAGCUCAGAGACCCCCACAUGACAUCUGCAAAGGAGUAGGUGUAGUGGACGGGCCGGCCUCCCUCACCUCCCGACACUGAGGCGGGCUCCUUCACCCUGCCCUGCAGGCGGCUCUGGGCACUGAAACCUGCAACCACACCCGUGCCCCUGCCAGCUGUGGCAGCCCUGCAGGCCCUGCCUCCCAACACUGCUGCACUGAGGAAUCGAGUCUCAGAGAACACUCUCAAAUCAUAGAUAAUUCCAAGAACUAAGGAUUUCUGAAUGUGGACUGAGCUGCGGUGAGUACCAUCCUUGGGCCUAGGAUCGUGGGACUCCUACUUUCAUUCUCCUGCUUACUGUCCUUCUCUGCCCCAGAUCACCCUUCACAUUGGCUG